GGAAGAAAGUCCAUUGAUGAGCUGCUAGACUACGUUGUUCAGACACUUCAAGACACUUUUCAGACAGUUUACAUGCCAACUACCACAGCCGUUGUUGUCAUGGAAGGGACCCACAGCACCUUGCGUCUGUACCAAACCAUCAGGGAGAGGAGCUCUGUGAGGCCGUUCAUCCUCACCCCCACCCCUAUCCAAAGGGGCCCCGGAUCCUCCCUCCACAAGACCGCCUCUCUUAGGGCUCAACCAAUCAUUUCCCACCAUCCAACGGAGGAGGGGCCAGUUGAGACAGUGCAGUGGGAUCAGUCAGGAGAACUUGGGUUUAAAAAACAGAAACAGAGUUUUGAGGAGGACAGCAAGGCAGAUGGUUUAGGAUCAUCAUCAGACUCUGAGCUCCACUGGUUGGCUGACCUCCACCUGCUACCUCUCUGUUCGGAGUGUAAGGCCAGGGUCGGGAUGGGGAACCAGGGAGGUAAGCUCAGGCACCUGGGCUCAGAGGAGAGCCAAGAUGGUUGCUCACCCAGAUUACCACCAGACCCCCAGGCGACCAGGAGAAGGAGGACUGGGGGGAUGAACGGCACCAGUAGCCUCCAGCACACCCUCACCCGGUCCCCUGGGACCCCACGGACAGCAGGGAGCUCCAAGAGAAUGAGGCUGAAGAGGUUGUGGAAGAUGAGUGCUCGCCCAGCCGAGGAGACGCUUCAGUGGGGUGCAGUGGAGUCGAGUCCAGCCUAUCCUUCUGAUGGUGUCUCCAACUCUAAUUUCACAGAGAGGAGGAAUACAGUCAUGAGAGGAGGAGAAAAGGAGAAGUUGGACUCCGUCCAGGGAGGCAGAGAGAGGGAGAAAUAUUCUAAGAGUCCAACUAUGACACAGGAAGCAAAGAGGCCAUGCACCGUACCCUCCAGCGCUGUUCUGGAUUCCCUCAGGGGGGUUCUACUCUCUGAGAACCACUCUUGUUCUCUGAACAAAGUUCUCCCAUUUGAGUACCACUACAGUUCUCGCACGCCCCGAGAAGUUGUAACUCUGAAAGAAGAGUCUGUUCACAUUGACUCAGAUACGGAGCUCUCCGAGUACGACAACGAAUUCUGUAACAUCUCUCCCUUCCCAUCUAAACCUCAAGAGGUAGAGGAUGCCCAGGACAGCACCAGGCAGUCUCCAGAGGGGGGGUCCAACCAGGCCCUGAGCCCCAGCCAGGAGGGAGGCAGAGCAGAGAAGGGGUGGAGGAUGGAGAUGAAGAGGAAGGAAGCAGCCUGGAGGGUGAUGGAGAAGAUCGAGGAGGUGGAGGGGAUCAUACGGAGGGUCAGUCUAACCAGCGCUGACUGGAUCAAAGAAGGGAGAGAGGGGAGUGUUUUUGAUCUAUUUACCUCUACGCCAGAUGUGUCUGAAGAGGAGUCAGUGUCCGAGACCAAACCUGAAUCCUCUUUCCAGCUCCAGCCAGAGCUCCAAGAUUGGGGGACUACUCUGGAAGAUUCUCUCCCAGCUGAGGAGAUUCAUGCCCUGGGUGAGGCGUUGAGCCAGAGCCUGCGGAGAGCCCUGAGGAUGGAGGGUCUUGGGGAAGACGAGGACUGGGAGGCAGUGAGGUGUAGAGAGACAACCUGGAACUUUAACUUAGAGCAAACCUCUCCAGAAUUGUCAUGGGAUCCCAUCGACCUCUCCAACGGCAACACCAUGACCUUUGACCCUAUGAGAGAAUGGAAGCGUCCCUCCUCGCCCUCUCUCUUGGACAACUCGUCCCUAAGGACCUCCAGUAGUUUUAACAGCAUGUCCCCUAUGAUGUCCCCCAUCCUGUCUCCUCUGUCCUCCCUAUUGUCCAGCCCCCGGCUCAUUCGCCGUCCCCUGCCUCGGUCCCUCUCCCAGCCUGUUGAGGAGAUGAGCGAGGGAAGAAGAAUGAGAGAUGAGGAAGGUCAGAGAGGGACGAAGAACUCGGCACCAGGCCAUCUUGUCCUUCAGGGUGGAAGUUGUAAUAGAGGUGACAACAGUGACGUUAAGGUCAACAGAGGACAGGUAGGGGACAAAAAGGGGACCAGGAAGCGAGUAGCAUGGCUGGAUCUGAGGCUGAAUGAGCAGAACCAGAAUGACGGUCAGAGAAAAGGAGACUCCAGUUGGGCUGAGCCCGGUAUUUCCAGUUUGUCCACUGUGCUGUCUUCAGACGAGUCACUGAGGAGACAGGAGGAGAUCUGGCAGAGAGACGAGUCCCUGAGGAGACAGGAGGACAUCUGGAAGAGAGACGAGUCCCUGAGGAGACAGUCCCUGAGGAGACAGGAGGAGAUCUGGCAGAGAGAUGAGUCCCUGAAGAGACAGGGGGACAUCUGGCAAAGAGACGAGUCACUGGGGAGACAGGAGGAGAUCUGGCAGAGAGAUGAGUCCCUGGGGAGACAGGAGGAGAUCUGGCAGAGAGACGAGUCCCUGAGGAGACAGGAGGACAUCUGGCACAGAGAGGUGGAAGAGUCUCUGUCCUACUGCCGGCCUCUCUCCCGCCCCAAACACGUCGACUUCCUCAGGAUCACACCUCUGGAAGAUGACAUCACCAGCGACUCACCUUUCUCCCCACUGCGAGUGAGUGUCAAUGAUGUGGUAGAUAUUACCCCUCUUGAUUUUUUUUUUAACCUUUAUUUAACCAGGCAAGUUAAAGAACAAAUUCUUAUUUUCAAUGACGGCCUAGGAACAGUGGGUUAACUGCCUGUUCAGGGGUAGAACGACAGAUUUGUACCUUGUCAGCUCUAACCACUAGGCUACCCUGCCGCCCCACAUUGUUUUAGGGACACAGAUGCCAAAAGCUAACAUAUGAAGAAGUUUAUUUCCAAAACGCUAUAUCCACCAAUUUUUCACAUUUGUGUUUUUUUUUUAAUCAGAAAUGAUUGAUUAACUCAAAACAUAUUAACUCUAAGUAGUUA
rnacentral:lncRNA from 13 species